GUGAUGUUUCAGCUCAGAACUUCCUCCAGGAGUCACAAGAUUGUAUCAGGAAUCCAACAGAUUCCGGGAACUACAUUCCAGGAACUAGAAUCAGCACUUACGGCAAUGCGCCUCAAGUUGUGUGAACUUCUUGGGUUCCUGCAGUGAAACUGUGCAUAAUCUCUGUAAUUUAUGACGGUGGUGGUGUGUGUGUGUGUGUGUGUGUGUGUGUGCGCGUACCUGUGUGAACCUGGGCCUGCAGGACGGUGUGUGUGUGUGUGUGUGUGUGUGUGUGUGUGUGUGUGUGUGUGUGUGUGUGUGUGCGCGUACCUGCGUGAACCUGGGCCUGCAGGACGGUGACAGUGUGUGUGUGUGUGUGUGUGUGUGUGUGUGUGUGUGUGUGCGCGUACCUGCGUGAACCUGGGCCUGCAG
ensembl:lncRNA